GGAUAUAUAUUUAAAAGCAUUAAUAAUGAUAUAAUUUUUUAUAAUUUUAAGAAUAUUAGAUUUCACAGAAUAGAAUUAUAAAAUAUUAGUAUUAUGUUUUAAAUUUUUUUUUAUAAAUUUUAACAUUUAUUUAUAAUAUAGUGACAAAAAAAUUUUUAAAUCAGUCAUUGAGUCUAAUUCUUUAUUGUGGUUUCGAAUCAAAAUUAGAAUUUUCCUUUAAAAAAUUAAAAAAUGAAAUUGACUAAAAUCAGGCCGAAUCAGAAUCAAGAUUAAGUUACCCUAUAUUUUAAUUCCAAUCCUCUUAAACCACUGAAUGAGAAUCCUAAUCCAUUGUCUUCUCGUAAUUCAAAACUCAAGAAUUCAAACGUUAGCAUUUUUCGUGUAAAACUUUUCAUUAUAAACAAAAUUAAUGUAAUCAUUUUUAUAUAUUGAAAAUCUUUUAAUGAAACAAUAUUCUUAUUUAGGUCCAAUUUAUGUUGAUUAAAACUGAUGAAAAUUUAAUGUAUAAAAUUAAUUGGACUCAUAUUAAAAGGUUUUUUUUACUCAAAUUGAGUUUGUUAAGUGGGUAAUAUACUUUUAAUUACUGAACAAAAUUAGAUUAAACUUUGUUAAUGUAUUUUUACGUCUAUAAAAAUCUGAUCUAAAUAAUUUUUUUAUAUAUUUUAAAUCUUUAAUUUUAUAUGUAAUAAUUUAAUUAUUAAUUAUUAAUUAAAUGAUAACAAUUUAAGUCUGGAAUUUGAAUUUUCCCAUCUAUUUUCUUUAAGACUAAUCACGAGAAAAGAUAAGAAAUAUCUUUCAUUGUGUAACCUAACACAACCCAUCAAUUAUAACCAACUCAUUAAUUCUCUAUUAAAUAAAAAAUAUAACAAUUCAAGCUGUAACAACCUUCACCUUCAAAAAUAAUUAAAGUAGCAAAAUCAAAAUUUUUACCUAAAUUUGUGGAACACAAUCAAAAUAAACAAAAAUGACUAAAAGGCAUAUUUUCUGCUGCGUGACAUCUGCGGAGUAGCUUAUCCAAGACUUUGCUUAACUUAGUUGUUUUGUUUCCUUUCUUUUUCUUUUUUUUU
rnacentral:misc_RNA from 1 species